rnacentral:lncRNA from 1 species
CCUAGUUAAUAGGGAGUCUAGCUUCAAACCCACAUCUGACUGAAUCUAAUUCCACCUACAGCUUUGAAGGCUCAGAAAACAUAACUGCUUGAAAAACUGAGUUAACUCUAUGACUGCCAGGACAAAAGCUUAGGAUUUAGAAAUGAAACAAUGAAUAAGUAGACAUUUUGCUCUCAUUUUGUUAUUUUUUACUUUAUUUUCCAAAUAUGUUUAGGUUAAAGAAAAGAACAUGGGAUUUAGAGUCAAAUAGGCAGGUGUUUUGAUUCUACCCUUGCUAACCCUGUGACCUUUGGCUAAACCCCAAGUGAAGCGACCAGCAAUAAAUACUCAGGUGACUCUAAUGGAAGCCAAAGCAAUGCCAUAUGACAAAGGCAUUGGAUGUUCAUUCAUUUUCCAAGAAAGGGGUAAAAGGACAGCCUACGUUGUCCAGUGGAGGCAGCCUUCCCAUUCCAACGGACAUUUGUGGGAUAUUAGAGACCAAGAAGUGUUAAGAGAUGAUCUUCACAAAAUGCUGAGCUUGUGUGGGUGUCGAACUACAAACAGGAGGAGAUGGAUAUUCACAUGCAGUGGUGGAGGGUUAUGGCUCUCCAGCCUGGAGGAUUGGAGCUUGAGCCAGGAAAGAAGCUUUCAUUUGCAUCAAUAUGCUAGUCCAUGGAGUACACAGAUUGUUCUACAAACCAUAUGGUGACUAAGCCUCAUUAUUGAAUGCAGUUGACAUGGAAACAACUAGUCAACAUCAAAUAAAUAGAUUAUUUUGUGCAAAUAGCUGCCUCUUUGUGACAAUAAUAAAUACUUUAUUUGUAUCAGGAA